CCUACGGGUGGCAGCAGUGAGGAAUAUUGGUCAAUGGACGCGAGCCUGAACCAGCCAUGUAGCGUGAAGGAUGACGGCCCUACGAGUUGUAAACUGCUUUUGUACGAGGGUAAACGGAGACACGUGUACCUGUCUGAAUGUACUUUAUGAAUAAGGAUCGGCUAACUCCGUGCCAGCAGCCGCGGUAAUACGGAGGAUCCAAGCGUUAUCCGGAUUUAUUGGGUUUAAAGGGAGCGUAGAUGGUUGGUUAAGUUAGAUGUGAAAUCUCGAGGCUCAACCGCAGAAUUGCCAUUGAUACUGGUCGGCUAGAGAGUAGUUGAGGUAGGUGGAAUGUAUGGUGUAGCGGUGAAAUGCUUAGAGAUCAUGCAGAACACCGAUUGCGAAGGCAGCUUACCAAGCUACUUCUGACGUUGAGGCACGAAAGCGUGGGGAGCAAACAGGAUUAGAUACCCUUGUAGUC
rnacentral:rRNA from 1 species